rnacentral:rRNA from 1 species
UUACGGAGGGAGCAAGCGUUGUUCGGAAUCACUGGGCGUAAAGCGAGUGUAGGUUGUCAGGUAAGUAGGAUGUGAAAGCCCGGGGCUCAACCCCGGAAUUGCAUUCUAAACUGCCUGGCUAGAGUCCCGGAGAGGGAGGUGGAAUUCCGAGUGUAGAGGUGAAAUUCGUAGAUAUUCGGAGGAACACCAGAGGCGAAGGCGACCUCCUGGACGGUGACUGACACUGAGACUCGAAAGCGUGGGGAGCAAACAGGAUUAGAAACCCCAGUAGUCC